rnacentral:rRNA from 1 species
AUGGCUUCAUCCGGUUCCAUGACGAGGCCACCAGGUGCUAACCAAGAAGACAUGCCGAACAAGUGGGAGGACGCAUCUUUGGACAAGGUGAAGGAGAAAGAUGUCAACAUCCCGCAAUGUUGGUGUGCAGAUGUUUGCAAGGUGAAGGUGUCCACCGACCGAAAGAAAGCAUGGACGGAAGGGCGGAGAUAUUUUGUAUGCCCGAACUAUGCUUAUGAUCGUGCACUUCCAACUAAUGCCUAUGACCAACCACCGGUAAGCUCGAGAAGUAAAAUGUUACUCUAA